rnacentral:rRNA from 1 species
AGCGAACGCUGGCGGCAGGCCUAAUACAUGCAAGUCGAGCGCACCUUCGGGUGAGCGGCGGACGGGUGAGUAACGCGUGGGAACGUGCCCUUUGGUACGGGAUAACUGAGGGAAACUUCAGCUAAUACCGUAUGUGCCCUACGGGGGAAAGAUUUAUCGCCAUUGGAGCGGCCCGCGUUGGAUUAGGUAGUUGGUGAGGUAAAGGCUCACCAAGCCUACGAUCCAUAGCUGGUCUGAGAGGAUGAUCAGCCACACUGGGACUGAGACACGGCCCAGACUCCUACGGGAGGCAGCAGUAGGGAAUCUUGCGCAAUGGGCGAAAGCCUGACGCAGCCAUGCCGCGUGAAUGAUGAAGGUCUUAGGAUUGUAAAAUUCUUUCACCGGGGACGAUAAUGACGGUACCCGGAGAAGAAGCCCCGGCUAACUUCGUGCCAGCAGCCGCCGUAAAAC